UACGAGAGGUGCAAACGUUACCCGGAAUCAUUGGGCGUAAAGCGUCCGCAGGCGGCGCUGCAAGUCAGAUGUUAAAUCUUGAGGCUCAACUUCAAGCUUGUGUCUGAAACUGCAGUGCUAGAGAAUUGGAGAGGCGAGUGGAAUUCUAUAUGUAGGGGUAAAAUCCGUAGAUAUAUAGAGGAACACCAAAAGCGAAGGCAGCUCGCUGGCCAAUUUCUGACGCUCAUGGACGAAAGCGUGGGGAGCAAAC
rnacentral:rRNA from 1 species